rnacentral:rRNA from 1 species
UAGGGAAUCUUCCGCAAUGGACGAAAGUCUGACGGAGCAACGCCGCGUGAGUGAUGAAGGUUUUCGGAUCGUAAAGCUCUGUUGCCAGGGAAGAACGUCCGUUAGAGUAACUGCUAACGGAGUGACGGUACCUGAGAAGAAAGCCCCGGCUAACUACGUGCCAGCAGCCGCGGUAAUACGUAGGGGGCGAGCGUUGUCCGGAAUUAUUGGGCGUAAAGCGCGCGCAGGCGGCUGUUUAAGUCUGGUGUUUAAUCCUGGGGCUCAACCCCGGGUCGCACUGGAAACUGGACAGCUUGAGUGCAGAAGAGGAGAGUGGAAUUCCACGUGUAGCGGUGAAAUGCGUAGAGAUGUGGAGGAACACCAGUGGCGAAGGCGACUCUCUGGGCUGUAACUGACGCUGAGGCGCGAAAGCGUGGGGAGCAAACAGGAUUAGAUACC